GUGGCGAACGGGUGAGUAACACGUGAGCAAUCUGCCCUUGACUCUGGGAUAACUGCGGGAAACUGUAGCUAAUACCGGAUACUUUCCUCGCUGGGCAUCCAGCGGGGAAGAAAGAAUUUCGGUCAAGGAUGAGCUCGCGGCCUAUCAGCUAGUUGGUGAGGUAAUGGCUCACCAAGGCGACGACGGGUAGCCGGCCUGAGAGGGUGACCGGCCACACUGGAACUGAGACACGGUCCAGACUCCUACGGGAGGCAGCAGUGGGGAAUAUUGCACAAUGGGCGAAAGCCUGAUGCAGCAACGCCGCGUGGGGGAUGAAGGCCUUCGGGUUGUAAACCUCUUUUAGCAGGGAAGAAGCGAAAGUGACGGUACCUGCAGAAAAAGCACCGGCUAACUACGUGCCAGCAGCCGCGGUAAUACGUAGGGUGCAAGCGUUGUCCGGAAUUAUUGGGCGUAAAGAGCUCGUAGGCGGUUUGUCACGUCUGCUGUGAAAAUCCGAGGCUCAACCUCGGACUUGCAGUGGGUACGGGCAGGCUAGAGUGCGGUAGGGGAGAAGGGAAUUCCUGGUGUAGCGGUGGAAUGCGCAGAUAUCAGGAGGAACACCAAUGGCGAAGGCACUUCUCUGGGCCGUAACUGACGCUGAGGAGCGAAAGCGUGGGGAGCGAACAGGAUUAGAUACCCUGGUAGUCCAC
rnacentral:rRNA from 1 species